CGGACAAUGGGGGGGAACCCUGAUCCAGCCAUGCCGCGUGAGUGAAGAAGGCCUUCGGGUUGUA
rnacentral:rRNA from 1 species